ensembl:lncRNA
GGAAGCUGUUAUAUAGAUAUAAGAUGGAAUCUCAUUACUGUGUAUAAUUGUAAUUAUGUAAAUAAGGCUACUUCUGUCUGUCUCAUGUUCAAAAAGCCAAAGGAAAAUGUCGAUGAUCUAGUUAGCGUGAUGAAUUCAAAGUGACUGUGAACAUAUCUGCUGAACUUUUCCAUAACAUUUCUAAAAUUCUUCCUCUUCUAAACAUGUGACUAGAAUUCAUACUGCCCAGCUGCUAUUCCUGGUUUUAUUAGAUUUGCAGGCAAGCAAUCAGUUUACUCAUUGAAUUUGAAAAAGUCAUGCUGGUCAGAAAAAAGAGAAUCUUUGCAGAAAGUUGAGAACAAGUGCAUAGUUUUAGUGGUGGCUUGUUUUUGUAAUAAAGAGCCAACACCAAAGCCAUGAGAGGGAGUCAUGAUAACAAGAGUACUGCCGCCACGAGCAGUUGAGGGGAAGCCCAGCCUCCUGAGGAGCUCGGUGCCAGCAGCAUGCCAUAGCUUUCUGGGCAGUGGGGGGAAGCAGCGAGGAAGUGGGCCAGGCCCUGGCUGCGUGAGCCAGCACAGCUGCCCCUCACCAUGGAGCAGAACAACCCCAGGCAUCAGGCACUACUCCAGGGCCAGGCAGGACAUGGACCCGGCAUGUGUGGGCUAUGCAGGGCUGCAACACAGACAGAGCAACUCCAGGAGCUGGAUGGCUCUAGGCCUAAACACAGCCAUGGCAGGCAGCAUUUGGGCCUAACGGAGGGGUGCCUCACCCUGUGUGUUAGCGUGCCUUGCCAUAACAGGAGAGCUGUAGUAACUGCUACAAGAGGAAUAUCAAGAUGUCCUAUUUCAAGUCUUUUCCUGUGUUAUCAACUGGGUGGAAGACAGCCAAAAUACACGUUCUGCUUGGUUUCUCUCCUGGGCUGAGAGUAGCCUGUGAUCAACUCAUCAGCUGUGUAUACGUAAAAAGGGAGGCCUCAUCCAGAAGAAGAGGGCUUCUGGUCAUGCUGUAAUGAAUUUUCUGACAUGCGUUUUUAUCUAAAUUGUCUUGUAGUUCUCUAAACUGCCACUUUUAACGAUCUUACACUCAAGUUAGCGUACCUUGUGAGAGCCUGCUUGGUGGAUGGCUGUCACAGUUUGAACUUCUUGGGGUGAACUUCCAGUAUUGCCUUCCCACGCCAGAAUUCCACAAGGCUUCCCACAGUUUGGCCUUCCCCAGAAUUGACACUUGGACACACAAGGUGAUCCUGGACUCACUUUUGAGAUACUGGGCAUAUUGAUGCCAGAUGAAAUGCAACUGACCAGGAGGAGCAAUAACAUUCUGAGCAGCAAGCUGGCUGGUCUGAUUAACAGAGCUUCCAACUAGAUUUGAUGGGAGAAGCAAGCGUAUUUCUAAGUGACAGAGAAGAAGUAGGAAACACUGUCGCUUUAGGAACAAGCAAGAAAAAUUUCAGAUUUGUACCAAAAGAAUUCAGCAGGGCUCCUCCAAGAAGGUAAAAUGGCUGAUAGCCCACCUCAACUACAUCUAGGUUAGUUAAGUCAUGAAAUGCUCUCUUUCUCAAAUGGAAUUUGCAGUUAUUGUAUGUGCUUAAAUGCUUUAUUUUGAAUUACUGAGCCAUAUAUUUCUAAAAUGUCAUGCAGAAGAAAGGAGUACUUUUAUCUGCUUUUCAAGGGAUAAAACUUUUUAAAGCAUCAAGUGAUAUUUCAGUGAAGUUGAGAUUCUCAGAUGCCAGACACCUUAAUGAACAGUGCACUUUUUACACGCAUUAUAUUUGAAUCUUUUCAUUUUUCUAUCUUAUAUUCUCAUGUUUUCCUUUCAUGGAUGCUGCAAAGGGGUUCUAGCUAUUUUUUGUUUUUCACUCUGGAUUAUCCAGCUGCUUAAUUGGAUGAGGGGUGUGCAUGUUGUUUCAGUUAGUUAAUUUCUGGAGCAUUAAUUAUUUGAUAAGCUCUCAUGAGGAUUUAGGCUUGAGGACUCCCAUAAAUUUGAAUAUUAAAAGUUUAAUAAAAUAAAUAAAAAAAGUAAGCUUUUUUUUUUC